CUUUCAUACUCACUCCAGCCCAAGACACCUGCGUGGGACCUGCCUCCAGCACUCCGGGCAGCCGCCUGGGGUCCACGGGCAGCCUGAGCUAGCAGCAAGCCCCACAUCCGGCCGUCAGCUCUUUUACACCAUCUUGACGACCUGAGCUCCUUCGCCAUGCCGCUCCUGGACGGAGACCUGGAGGGUUCCGGAAAGCAUUCCUCUCGAAAGGUGGACAGCCCCUUCGGCCCGGGCAGCCCCUCCAAAGGGUUCUUCUCCAGAGGCCCCCAGCCCCGGCCCUCCAGCCCCAUGUCUGCACCUGUGAGGCCCAAGACCAGCCCCGGCUCUCCCAAAACCGUGUUCCCAUUCUCCUACCAGGAGUCCCCGCCGCGCUCCCCUCGACGCAUGAGCUUCAGUGGGAUCUUCCGCUCCUCCUCCAAAGAGUCUUCCCCCAACUCCAACCCUGCUACCUCGCCCGGGGGCAUCAGGUUUUUCUCCCGCUCCAGAAAAAGUAAGACCUUGAUGCUAUUGUUUCAGGUGGGUGCUGGGGGCCUCUUCUGCAGUCACACAUCCAUGGUGGC
rnacentral:lncRNA from 1 species